CCUGUUGUGACGUCACGGCGGCGCGCCGGCCUCAGGAGAGGACCCCUAUGCGACCGCGUCCCUUCGGUCCUUGAGCCUGGUCCUUGAGCCUGAGUCCAGCGCGCAGCGAUGGCCUUGAGGCUGCUGAGACUAGUCCCCGCGUCCGCGUCCGCGCGCGGCCUGGCGGGGGGCGCCCCGCGCGUGGUGAGGCGACGGGGCAGUGGGUAGCCCGGCGGGACAGUGGGCGGGCCGGCGGGCCGGGUCGGGUCUCUGCGCGGCGGCUCCGGGACCGCUCUCCGGCGGGGUCCUGCUGCCGGCGGCGUCCUCCGUGGCGGUCCCCAGCGCGGCCAGCUUGGUCGCAGCCGCCGGCGGAGCGCCGCGGCAGACGCACGGCCCGGAGGCGGCGGCUCGCCGGGUCCUGAGCUCACCAGCAGCUUUGCCGGGGGCCUUGGGAAGGGUCAGGCCCUGGGCGGGGCGCCGGGCCCGGGGCCGUCACGAAGAGGACCGCUGGGUGAGAUUCGGAAGCACGAGGGAAACUUCCCACUGUGGGGGUCAGGGAGGUGACCUCGCACGUGCAGAGGACAGGGGCAAAGGAACCGUGGCUGCAGACGCAGGAAACCUUUGGUGGACUUUGGGUGCCGGAGGCUCUGGGCCAUGGCUUUAAAGGGGCUUGGCCGCGAGCUGAGGGAUUGAGCGUGAACAGAGAGGGUGCCGGUCUGAUCUGGAGGAGAGAGGCGCUGGCUGUCCUGCUGUUGUGGGCCUGUGAGGGGGAGCCAGACGCCCAGAGAGCCCGGACCCUCACUGUAACCUGGGCCCGGUGCCCAGCUGUGGCGGCGCGUUCUCUGGGGCGCUUCAGAUUGAACACGGUGUAGGGUAUCCUCAGUGGUCAGGAGGACGCGUGCAAGGGGAAAAGUAGGUCUGUGUUGGACUGGAGGGACAAUUAAAGGAAUCGAAAACGGUUCAUGAAAAGUCGGUUAUUUGUGUUAUUCUGGGCAGCAGGAGAAUGGAGUCAAGGAUGCUUGUCAACCUAGUCUCCUGUGCGUGGACCGUAGGUGGCCAGGUCUUUGCUUUAGAGGCAUUACUCCAGUGAACGUCUUUGAUGUAUAUAGCCCUCUUCCCAUUUUGCUGCUGUGAAUGUGUGUCUAUGUGUAACUUACAAAAUAGUGCAUUCUUUCUUUUAAUUAACUAAAGCUAGGCUUUAUUCAGACUUCAUUAGUUUUUCCCCAGUGUCCAUUUUCUGUCCCAAGAUCCCAUCCAGUGUGUCCUGUAACAUCUGUUGUGUCCUCGGUUGUGUGGAUUUCUCAGACUCUUGUUUCUGGUAACCUUGAUGGUUCUGAGAAGUACUAAGCAGGUGUUUGAUUCUCAGAAACCUGGAGGGUUUGUCUUGGUUGAACUUGGCUGGGAAGAGGACUGCAGAGGUGAAGGGCUACUGGCGUCUCACCAGCACACUAGGAAUAUGACUGUUGGUUGAUGUUGAGGUAGGUCAACUGACUGCUGUGCUGAGGCUGAUUCUCCACUGUGAGGCUGUUCUCCCCCUGCACCCUGUGUUCUUAGGAGGGAGCCCCUUUGUGCCAUGCUUAUGGAGCAGGGUUGUGCUCCUUCCCCUGUAGAGUGUCAAGGUUGGCAAUUUGGACCUCUCCUCCCUGGGUGUGUGAGGAAUCAUGGGUAGUCACUGCUGCAUGUGUUGCCCACGUUGUCGUGGCUGUGUCCCUAUUGGUUUCUUGUUCCUGUGACUUACCGGGUUGUAUGAAUACUGCCUGACUUUUUGACACUACCUUUUUUGCAUAUCAAAAGAUGUGUAGAUGGCAGGUAAGCACAAGAAAAGAUGGCCAAGGCAUCUGUCAUCUGGGAAUCACAAGUGAAAGGACAAAGGAGACAAAAGCAUACAUUUAAUAGAGUGGUAAAAAGCCAAGUGGCUGAAGCCGGAGCAGCUGGCAGGACUGGCGCAAGGCAGGAAUGCCUUCACAGCCUCUGGGUAGUUGCUGUGCCUUCUUUUGCAACCUGUGUUCCCCCCCCCCCCCAAUCCUUCAGUAUUCAAGUAAAUCAAGUGUGAAAAACAUCUGUUUUAUGUAAAUUUUUUUUUGUGUUUGUGGUACUGGGGAUUGGACUUGGGGGGCAUGUUCUCACUGAGCUACAUCUCCAGCCCUUUCCUUAUUGAGACAGGGUCUCACUAAGUUGGCCUCAAAUUUGUAAUCCUCCUGCCUCAGCCUCCUGAGUAGCAGUGGCACACCCAGCUAUUCUUAAUAUUUUAAAUUCUCCUGUAUUCUUUUUUAUAAUAAAGUAUUUUAUUAUUUAAUUAAGUAAGUGGUUAAUAUUUUGUGGUAAGGGUAUACCUUAAAAUUUUAAGCUCCUCCUCUGUUGUUGGAUAAUUGCAUUUGCCAUUAUGAACAAUAUUUCAUCAAGCAUCCUUAUAGGGGAUUCUUUGCACAGAUGAGUGUCCCCUUAGGACAGGUUUCUGGUGCUAGGCUCAGUAGCCUAGAUUUAAGCACCAUUAGCUGUUUAUGAGGGAACUCAUUGUCUUGUCCUAAAAAAUCAAGUAUUUCCUGUUUUGAUGCAUGAAAAAGUGUUUUCUCCUUUGUUGUUGUCUCUUCCAGACAUUUGAAUGUGUGGUUAUCUGCAUACCUAACACUUUAAAAAUGAGCUGUGUAGCUGGGCAUGGUGGACAUAUCUGUAGUCUCGCUGACUCAAGGCUGAGGCAGGAGGAUCACAAGUACAAGGCCAGCCUGGGCAACUUAGUGAGACCUGUCUCAAAAAAUAAGAAGGGCUGGGGGUGCAGCUCAGUAGUAAAGCGAUCCCUGGGCCGAAUCUCUAGUGCCAAAAGGAGCAAGCUGCGAGGUCACCCUUCAUAUGUCUUACUGAUGUGUAGAAUGUCCUUGUACCAAGGCACAUGCUGCUUGGUAUUUUUAUUUGGCGGGAGAUUAUUUUGGCUUCAGUGUGGAGGGCAGAUGGAAGACGCUGGAGACGGCAGGUGAGGCGUCUCACCCUGUGCAUGAGAGCCAUGAGGAUGUCUGCAGAAUCAGGGCAGCAGGGGAGCAAAGUGACACUUUGGCCAGAGGUGGAGGGUCAGGAGUCAGAGUGGUGGUGGGGCUGGAGGAAGGAGGAGGGGAGCUGUUAGGUAGGGGACGCGGCCUGUUGUGAGUGAGAGCAGAUUUAUGGAUUGGGGUUGGAAGUUGUGCUUUGGUUUAGGACUGCUAGCUCACAGGUGUAGGGGACCAGCUGCAGCUUGGGAUGAGCCCAGAGAUGCUUUCCUGGAAAGAGGAGAUGCCCUCUCUGUCUCCCCAGCCGCUUUCUUCCUGCCUUUCUCCCUCCCGCCUGCCAGCCUUCUGCCUUCCAUUUUCAUGGAACAUGGCAAGCAUACUGCAGGCUCCAUUCUGGCCCUGUGCCCCUGGGGUGAGGAGGGUGGGUGUAGGCAGGGCCUGUGCAGCCCUGGGGUAAGGAGGGUGGGUGUAGGCAGACCCUGUGUGCCCUGAUGUGAGGAGGGUGUAGGCAGGGCCUGUGCAGCCCUGGGGUGAGGAGGGUGUAAGCAGGCCCUGUGCGCCCUGGGGUGAGGAGGGUGGGUGUAGGCAGGGCCUGUGCAGCCCUGGGGUAAGGAGGGUGGGUGUAGGCAGACCCUGUGCACCUGGGGUGAGCAGGGUGGGUGUAGGCAGGGCCUGUGCACCUGGGGUGAGGAGGGUGGGUGCAGGCAGACCCUGUGCACCUGGGGUGAGGAGGGUGGGUGUAGGCAGGCCCUGUGCACUCUGGGAUGAGGAGGGUGCCGGUGCUGGCAUUUUUGCCGUUGAUGGGUUUUUGGUGCUGUUAGGUUACUGAUGCCUGCAGUGCUGAAGGGUCACAUGCUGUGGGACGGCGUGUCUUCCAGGGACUGCUUCACACCAGUGCACAGUGCGAGCUGCGGUAUGGGGCUUUGGCAUUCCUGCUUGGUGAAAGGACAACCAAGAAGCUGACGGAGUCCAGCAGAGUGAUCACUGUGGAUGGCAACAUCUGUUCUGGAAAAGGCACACUGGCCAAGGCAAUAGCAGAGAAACUAGGUAUGAGCCACUGCCAUGCGCAGCGGGAUUCCCAGACACAGCUGUGGCCUCCUGCUGACCUCACUGUACUAUCCAGGGGUGGCCCUGGUCCAAGGGAGGUCUUUUACAUUUACAUUUGGUAUGUUUGGAGAAUCAUAGUGUCUCCUGUCCAUGCCGGUUACCAGCUGGAGCUGGACUUGCCUGGGCAGUGCAGGCAACACGUGUACUGUGAGCUGUCCUGUGGGCUCUGUGAUGGCCUCUGCUGCAGAGCUGUGGUUGUUACUCCGACUCACACUGGGUGGAUUGGGAGGUAAGCCAGUGUCACACAGCCGGUCAUUAGAACCCGUGUCCAGUUUUCCACGGUGCCUUCACUGGCAUCCAGUGGCAGCUGCCUGUGUGCACAGAGGACUCCUGUUAGGGGGGGUCAUUCUCUCAGGAGGGCUCUGCCUAUGGGCACAGUAUGGCUGUUCCGCCCUGAUGCGCUCUGGGCGUGUUGUCACCAGCGUCUCUGUCCCCCAGGAUGCACAGCGGAACUGGGGCUGGUUGGCUCCUCAGGUGGCUUCAGACCGGGUUGUGUGUCCUGCAGUCCCCACGAUCCCCCUGCGGGAGUGGGGGUCAGUCGCGCUUCACCAGUACUUCUCCCUCAGGCAUGAAGCACUUUCCUGAAGCAGGGAUCCACUACGCAGACAGCACCACAGGGGACGGGCGGCCCCUGGACGUGGAGUUCAGUGGCAACUGUAGCUUGGAGAAGUUCUAUGACGACCCGAAAAGCAACGAUGGCAACAGCUACCGCCUGCAGUCCUGGCUGUACGCCAGCCGCCUCCUGCAGUACGCAGACGCCCUGGAGCACCUGUUGAGUACAGGUGGGCCGCCCUUCUCAGUCCUCUUUGGGGUCCAGCCCUUGAAAUCCCAUCACUAGUGCUUUUCUGUACAGGUGCUGGGGCAAGUCGUGUCUUUCCAGUAAGAGUAGGAAUGUCUUGAGGUCCCGUUUCUGAUGCUCCAGGGUGAGGUGGACGCACUUCCCUGUGCACUGCAGUGAGCUUCACGCCACAGUGGUGGAGGGCAGUGGGGACACAGAGGCCGCUGGGAGGAAGUGGAGUCACAGUUGGGAAGAGGGGGCUUGAGGGAAGCAGAAGCACAGCGGCCAGCACCGGGUGGUUCUGCGGGGCUGGAGCUGGCUGAUCCACACAGAGCCCGGGGGAAGUUAGAACUGGGGGGCAGGCAGAACACACAGGUGGGGCUGUACAGUCAGGCAGGCAGAGCCCAGGUGCGUGUUGCUCCUACGAACGUGUGUGUUGUGCAGCCUACCUUUUAGGCAUCUCUACCAGGAUGGUGCCCAACUCUCACUGCUGGGCAGUAGCUUGGAUGUGACACUGGUGUUUGGGCCACUCCACUUUCAUUUUGAAGCACACUUCACCCUAUUUUCUGACUACCCAUUUCUUAAAAUUAAAGUCUUUUACUUGUUGAGUGGAAACUGGCCUGUUUCCUUGUGUGCUGUGUUCAUCUUUACGUUGAACACGAAUGCAAGGCCCGUCCAGGAGCCUGGGUUCCACAGGGAGGAGGCUUCUGAAUGAGCAGGUGGGUGGUGACCAGAGGCGGAGGCAGGGUGCCAGGGAGUGAGGGCGUGGAGGGCAGAGGCUCUACAGAAGGGCCAGGGCGCUGGGGCUCUGCUCUUCUAGAGGGGAAGGGGAGGGAGGGCUCUGUCCAGUCCCAGCAGGGCUGAUUGCAAGGGCCUUGUGCCUUGAGCAGUGUGAGUGACCCUUGGGACCAUUGUGACAGUGUGGCAGCAGUGAGGCUGAGAGUCAGGAGAGGGGGCGUCAAAGAAGUAGCCUAGCUGAGAUGGCCGGGUCUUGAGGGCCACGGCAGAGACCGGGUUUUCCUGAGGGAGAGAGGAGGCCAGUGGGAGGGUUGGUGCAGGAAUGAUCCAUGUGGCAGGUGGAAGUGUCCCUCUGCUGUCGGGGACCGGGCGAGGCAGGAUCAGGAAGUGCCAGCAGAGGCGGUGCACAGUGAUUGUGUUUGGUGGUGUUUGGAGAAUGCUGAGACGGCUGGGAUGAGUGGGGUGUGGGUGUGAGGGAGGGACUUGGGACAGCAGCAGAUUGCUGGGCACAGCGAGGUGCAAGGGCUUGGUUAGAAACAGACUCCCCAUGUUUGUGGGACGCCUCUGGGAUGGCUGAUGGAGUGUCCGUGGAGAUGAAAGGUCACUGGAACGGAACGGAGGAGUUUUUGAAAAUGUUUUUUUUCUUAUGAAUUUGACUUUGGUCCUUUGACUACAUUGGCUUGGAAAUGGAAUUGUGUUUUUUUCCCCAUUUCUAAAAUGACCUGACGGUGGGUAGGACUUCCUGCCUGCCUGCCGUCUGAGUCCCGCUGCCCUGUUCUCCACAGGACAAGGCGUGGUCCUGGAGCGCUCCAUCUUCAGCGACUUUGUCUUCCUGGAGGCCAUGUACAACCAGGGCUUCAUCCGCAAGCAGUGUGAGUCCCAGCCCCCCUCCCUGGCAUGUGCGGGCUCUGCCGUGGCUGCCCUGGGCCCGCAGCGCCUUCGGGGAAAGGCCGCGGCCUAGCCUGAUGCCGCUGUGGAAUGCGCCUCACAGAUGGGAGCGACUGAGCUGCCCACCCCCUUCCUCCUGUGGAGUCCCGGGCACUUGAGAGCACACAGCUGACCCACGGCUGCUGACCCUCCUCCAAAGCACCCCAGCCCUGGGCCUGCAGGCUUACCUGUGCUGAGCCAGUCCCCAUGUGCUUCCUGAGGCGUUGGCAGGGGCCGUUUCCUCAGCCUGCCCCUGCAGCGUCCUGGUGGUCACCACAGUCCUUUCCCCUCUCUGGUGUGUUGCUGCUCCAUGUUUUCAGGGGCAGUGGCAUCGUGUGGGGCAUUGACAGUAGCAGGUGAGGGGUAAUGACCUCUGUGAGGGAAGACUGACUUGAGUCAGGGUGGGGUCGGAACCUCUGUGGCCGGGAGUGUGUUGGGCAGUUCUUUGACCAGACCAUGUGGUCAGUCUGCCCACUCCCCACCCUGUGCUGGGGUGGCUGGCGCAGCAGGGAACUAGAGUGCGGAGGUCCGCUUAAGCGUGGCUGUUGAUGAACGGGCCUUCUGGAGUGCCGCUGUGUGCCCAGCUCUGUCUUGGUGUUUGGGACGUGAAGGGGCACCACGCAGGACUCACAAUCCUGGGGGUGGGUGGGGCUUAGAGCAGCACAGUCGGAGGGGCUGCAGUCCAGGGUCCCCAGGCUGCUGUGCAGCGAAGCACACCAGAGGUGUCUGGCCUGCGGGGAGACAGGGAAUUUCCUCCACAGGGGGCCUCCAGGGGUCCCCACAGACGCGAGCCACUCAGUGGGCAGCAGGCCUGUGGGGGGACUGCUGUGGAGGGGUACUGGAGCAGCAGGGCUGGCACCUGGUUAGGGUUAGGGGGCUGGUGACGGCUGCAGAGCCACUGGAUGUGAGUGUGGAGAGGUGGCAGGCGUUGGGGUGGACGGUGCAUGUGGUGAGGGGAGUGGACCGGUGCCCAGAUUGGAGGAGGCUAGGCUGAGACAGGGAGAAAGGACACUGGCAGGCUGGUGGUGGCAUUGUGGAGCAAAGUGGGAGAGUGACGGUGGGUCUGUGAGAGGAGGAUGCAGGGCACAGCACGGUGGGGUGGGUCCCUGUCAGGGCGUCUCGGGGAGGGUCCCUGGGCGAGGCCUUAAGGCAGCGGAAGCCUAUGCUGCAGACCAAGGGCCGGGCUGGGCUGGAGGCAGUUCUGGGCCGCGCGGAGGGCACGUUUGUCUUGGGAGCAGCUGUGCAGUGGGGACAGCUGAGACCAGACCUGGUGCCCUUGCCAGGGAGGUGGAGCCCUGUUAAAGGGUCCACGCCACGUGAGUCACCUGAGAAAUGGGAUGCUGACGAGUCAGGAGGGAGUGGGACUGGGCAGAGUGGGCAGGGCAGGGGAAUGUCACCAACAGUGGGAGAGCCACUUCACCUCCUCCAGGGUCCUUGCCCUUCCUCUAGCCGUGUCCUCGCUGGCCUUGGGCCAGGGCCCAUCCCCAGAGUGCAUCCAGAGUGAGUUUCCAGGAGGAGUGUUUUCUUUAAAGUGAAGUAAUUGUCUCUCAGUGGUCCUUACCUGAUCACCUGCUGUGACUUCUGGAAGGUUCCUCCAUGGCAGCGCCUGCAGAGGCGAGGGUUCCUUGACACUGUGGGUGAAGGUGGUGGCUUCACUCCACACACCGAGUGGUGAUUGGUGUGGCCGGUGUGUGAUGUCCCCUGGGCAGAGUGCUCUGAACAGCACCAGCUCUCCGCAGCACCGUGGCUGUCUUGUGGGGCUGGCCAGUGGGCACUCUCAGUGACGCCUUGGUGGGAUCGUCCCGCCUCAGCUGCGUUGCUGGCUGUGGAGAAGGCCAGGCCUUAGUGCAUUGCUCUGGAGCCCCGCACACACAGCAGGCACCUGUCACACCUCCUAUCCACGUGUGCCUCCCUCCUGCCCGGCAGACGAGGUAGUGGGUGCAUGCUGGCUCUGUCCCUGGGUGCCGUUAGGUUGCAGUGUGAAUCCAUGCUGGACCUCGUCUGAGCUGAGGACACCUGAUGGUUCCAGCGUGUGGACACCGGGUGGAAGGGACACAGGCUCGGUGGCUACUCUGAGUGCAGUGCUGCUGGGUGCAGUGCCCAUGGCCCUGUGGCCAUCUGCCCUUGAGGGCGUGCUCAAUGGCUUCAGCUGACUUAGGAGUGUACGGUUGGCACAAGGCCUGAGGAUGACGUGAGCUCUGCCCUUUACUCAAGGAGGGGUGUGUGCAGAGGCCUGUCGAGGGCCAGUGACAGUGGCCUCUCUUGUGCCAGGUGUGGACCACUACAACGAGGUAAAGAAGAUCACGGCCUGCGAGUACCUGCCUCCCCACCUGGUGAUCUACGUGGAUGUGCCUGUGCCGGAGGUUCAGAGUCGGAUCCAGAAGAAGGGAGAUGUAGGUCCGCCUGUGGAGCCCAUGUUGCUCUCUCAAGGCCAUGUGGGAUUCUGGCGGUCCUCACUGGGGUGACUGACACCAAUCAGGUCACAGCUGAAGAAGGUGCCCAUGUGGGUGGGAGGGCUGGGCCCAGCCGGGCGCCAUCUCCGGUGGGAGCUGCCUUCCCCAGUGCUGCCCAGGCCCCUGUUGUUCCUGGGCCACCCUGGCUGUCCCCGUGGGUGGGGGGGCCUGCUGAGUGCCUCCUUCCUAUUGCUCUUGAAUCGAGCCCCUCCCUCUUUUACCUCCUUCCUGUUUCUAGGAGAGUAGAAGGUUGCUCUCUGCCCUUUGGGCUGGGUCUCAGGUGGCUCCCAGGAGCCCUGCAGGCAAGGUGGAGGGUGCUGGGUGGGCACUGCUGUCCUGGGGCCUUUCUGGCCAGUGCUGCAGUAGGGACAUGUGAUCUCUUUGGUGUGUGAGGAAGAUGCAGGUGACGGCAGCCUGUGUUCCAGGGCCGUCCACUGUGUGGGGUUCAGCGGUCCCUUCUGAAUGGCAGCCUCCUGUUGUCCUUUGCUGUCCCUGGUGGCCUGGGAGACUGACUCCUCAUCUCAGGUCAAGCAUGUGUGAGACUUGCAGUGUCCCUGCUCAUCCUCUCUGUGCCUCAAGCUGCCUGAGAGGCUGCUCCUGGUAUGAUCAGUGACUUAGACUGGGGACAUGCCCUCAGGCGGCAAAAGGAGGGACCUGCAAGUUAACAAUGUUUGAUCCUUUGCCAGUGGAAUAAGGUGACACUUCCCAUGCUAACAUUCAUUGAGAAAAUCUAGGGCAUGUAUUCCAAAUUCUCAAGGUAACUAUUUUGUUAUCUUAGACAACAACAUUUUGGAAAUAAUUCUGAAGUCAAAAUUAGAGAUAUCAGUUUUUUUCCCAAGUAAAGUGUCAGAUGAAUGAUGUCAUCAGCUGAAACGAGCACUGAGCGAGACACUCGGAGACCUCGGGCCAGAGAGAUGGUAGCAGAGGCCUGUGUCCUGUCUCUCUGUGCAGGCUGUGCCUGUACCUUGGGCCUUUGGAAAUAGCCCCUUCCCUGCUCCAGGACAGCUGGUCCUGGUCACCGGAUGCUGGCUGGCGUUUGUGGUUCACAUUUCUGUGGUGUUUAUGGGGCUGGGGUUUUGGUCACAUUAGGGGUGAUCUUCUUUCACUCUGGGCCGUAGCCAGUGUGGGCUCCCCCGCACUCCUCUAGUGCUGGGUGCCUCCUGCAGGCUGGCUCUGGGAGCUCACCUGCCCUGUGCCGGGUCCUUGCUGACACACGCCCGGUAACAGCAGCUUUCCUGAGGGAGUGGCCCCUUUGUGGACAGAGCCAUGAGGGUGCAGCUGGUCGUGUGGUCCCAGGCCUGGCUGGUGUUGGGCUGCGAGCACUCCAGAGAUGCUCCAGAGUGAUUUUAAUGUUUUUUUCUUUUUCUUUUUUUAACAGCUUUACUGAGGUAUAAUUUAUACUUUUUAAAAUUCACCCAAUUUAAGGUAUAACUCAAUGAUUUUUAGCAAAGUCACCAAAUCAUGGCAACUACACCAUCAGCCAGUUCUAGGAUAUUUUUAUCAUUUUGUGAAGUCAAAACAGUAGGCUUAAUGCUUUCUCCCCCUCCCCCGACAAGUAUUCACCAGCGCCCCGGCAGCGGACAGCUGUGUGUGGGCAGUGCGGGCGAGUUCCGCACUCAGUGGGCACGCGCUCUCCUGGCAGGCCCUUGGUAACAGGACGGGAAUGCGCACAGUGCGUCAGACAGAAGCAGAGGCACAAGUAGGAGAGAAGUGCAGAAAGAGAGCGCAGGUUGCCAAGGGCAGGGCAUCUUGGGUUCCAGCCCGGCCCCGCGUGAUGUGAUUGUAUUCAAGGAUUAAUACGGGGCUGGGGCUCAGAGGUAGAGCCCUCGCCUAGCCUGCGUGGGCACUGGGUUCGAACCUCAGCACCACAUAAAUAUAAAAUAAAGAUUCUGUGUCCACCUAUAACUAAAAAAAAUAUUAAAGAAAUUGACUUCAGAUGAUAAUGGAGGCGAGAGAUCGGGAGCGUGGGGAUGGUAAGAAGGGAGGUGUGGAGAGAUGCAGAGAGGGUCUGCGACAAAGAGCGGGUGCUGAGGGCAAGCUGGGGCGAGGCCAGCGGCCUCCAUGGUGGCUGUGACCCUUUGUUGCCUGUACUUGGGCCCAAGUGCAACAGCGCAGCCUCUAAGGGGCUUCCAGAGCCUGUGCAGGAAGGUCCUGCUGGGCCUCCCCUGGGACCCUGCAGGGCUCCCCACCACUCAGUGGUUUGCACUGUACACAUGCACAGGUAAAAGAACAACGUCAGACUGUCCCUGUGUGAAUUUUCUGUUUUGUUUAGCCACAUGAAAUGAAGAUCACCUCUGCCUACCUCCAGGACAUUGAGAAUGCCUAUAAGAAAACCUUCCUCCCCGAGAUGAGGUGAGCCAAGCUCGCGCCGACCGCAGGAGCAGCGCUGCUCCUUCACGAAUCGGUCCUCACCCCGCAGCCCUGGGAGUGGGCUCUGGCUCAGGGCCGUGCUGGGGGUUGUCUGGGCGUCCAGUGUUUUUGAGCAAACAUUGUAGGAGACAUUGCAGUUGAUCUUUGUGAGAUGAUUUGUUUCAUCCUUAAAAUUUGGGGGGGCACAAAGAAACACCCAGUCUGUGUCAGGGUUUAGCACUGGAGGGCUCAUGUGUUUUCACUUCAGGGGACAACUGAACAUUCCUGUCCACCUAGAAGGGCUGCUCGAAGCACUUGGCCUCCCUGUUGGGUGUGGCCACAAGAAGUGAGGUGGGGCAAGUCUCUGGGUGCUUCCUACUCCCAUCUCCAGAGGGCUGGCACCGAUGGGGAGCCAGACCUCCUUCCUCUUCCCGUUGGAAAGCUGGGAGAGGCAUCUUUCUGUACACACUCUAGCUUGUCGUCCUGGGGUCCUUGGGUGUCCAUGUUACUGCUGUCACUCAGGUCCAGUUACAGCUGGGUUGUUUGAAUAAGGCUUUUAUUAAAGGUUUUCAGUAGGAUAAUGUACUUCUAAGUUUCAUACUUCUUCAAAACUUAACCCUCUUUUGAUACCUAAAAACUUAACGCUCAUGUUUAAAAUUUCAAAGUAAUCAAAAAUUGUGAAUUAAACAAAGUGUAGUAAUUUUGAAAAGAAGCUUUGUGUUUGAACUGAGAGUGUCUCGCUGUGAGGUGGUGCUGAGGUCACGGAGCUGUUCUUCCUCAGCCUGUUCUGUUUUCAAGACCAGAAGUGCCCCCCCCCCAAAAAAAAAAGGCUGUUUGCCCAUCUGUGCCCAGGGGAGUAUGCAGAGCUGCGUGAGCCGCAUGAGCAGAGACCGUGACCCCAGAAUUUCUGUCCAGAGUCUCCUCCUGACCUCUGUCCAGAGUCUCCUCCCUCCAUGGCAGGGAGCUCCAGGGGUCUGGUGUUGUCUAGGGGUGGGUCCUGCAGGCUGCUGGUGGGCAGAGACAUGAGCAGUGGUUCUGAGCGCCCUGCCCUGGUGCGCUGUGGGCUUGGGCUGCACAGGAGGGUCGCUCCUGAGGUCCCACAUUCCGAGGUGCUGGAACUCUGCUGCCACCUCCUCCAUAUGGUGUCCCCAUGGUGAUGGGGACCUGCCGUGUGGAGCAGAAGCUCAGAGCCUGACAUUCACCUCAGGUCACCUCAGGUCUGGCCAUGGCUUGCUGGGUAGAGCCCCAGGAGCCGUUUCUGGGUUGUGCAGUCUGGGUAGCUUCUGAGGACGUGUGUCUCAGAGCCCUGCAAGCCAGCCUUGCUGGGACACUGCUGCUGCCCAGGCCGCAGCCUGCCCACCCUACCUAUUGAGCUGGAUGUCAGCCUGGGGCGGAUCCCCGUCUUUUUCUGCAGCGUCCUGUCCUCUUGUCUUUCACACACAGCCCGUCCUUUCAUCAGAAACCGUGAUGACCAGAGCUGGCCUCCUGCAGCUCUGCAGACCACUGGGUGCCAGUGUCCCCACCACUGUGGCAGGGGCAGUGGCUGUGUGAGUGCCUUGAGGGGCGCUGUUCUCUGAUUGAGCCUUUCCAUGUGGACCUUCAAGGCCACUGCUACUCCCUGGCUGUGCUGGGCUAUACCUCACCCUGGGGGGGCAGCUUCCCUGACUGCCCGGGGGGCACUGGAGUCUGAAGAUCUAGGGGUACAGCGAGCCACCUUCCUGGGGUCCUUAGGCCUCUUUUUCUGUAGUGUAACCUUAUUAAAUUCCCAGGUCUGUUGUGUGGUCUCUCUGUUUACAAGGGACAAGUAGGCAUCAGAGACGCCCUGAGGAUGGCUGGUUCUGUUGGCAGAGCUGGUGGCACCCGUCCUGCAUGGAGCUGCUUCUGACGGGCAGCAAGGAUGCUCACUUGCCCCCCUCUUCAUUCUGUGCGAUCCCGCCUCCCUCUGGUGCUGUCCAAGCCCACGCUGAACGGUUGCUUUGCGAAUCCUCACUCCCGGGGUAUCGGGCAAACCAGGACAGGACUGUAAAGACUGCUCUGUGGUCAGGUGAGCAGGCACCCUCUCCAGGGCCUGCUGGCCUGCUGUGCUUGCCGCCCGCCUACUGCAGGGCUGGGUGGAGCCCUGUGCUCGGGGGCACUGUGCGUACACAGUGUAGGCACACGUAUGAGGUUUCGUGUGUCGUUGGUUUGUGGGGUUUUCUGCGUGACUGUGUCAUACCAUGCAUUGUUCAAACAUUCUGGUUACAACCUCUCCUGCUCCACAGAUUCAGUAAGCUGCGAGCGUUUGGACAGAUGCAGUCUCUGUUCAUUGUUACGGUGAAUUCUUCCUAGACAGCCACAUAGCUUAUGUGUCAUUUGUCAAGAUUAGGAGGAUAAGGUCCUGAAGUCCUCUGUGCAGUGUUCGUUACUUUAAGCACGAAGUGUAGACCAGUGUCAUGCUGCAGCUCUGGGAAGGAUUGGGACCUAACAGUCUUCUCUCAGAAAUUUGCUAUGGAAUUUGACUAUUUCAAUUAAAAUUUCAGGACAAAUAGGUCACAGCCUAAGGUUUCUAUGUCAUUUGUGCUUUAGAAUCUGAGGGUGCUUUGCAGCAGUGGUAGUUGGGGGUUUUCUGGCUGAAGAGUGUCCAGCAUCUGCCAUGCUGGGCGGUGAGGGCACUGUAGUGGUCCUCCUGGUCUGGCUUACCAAAUGGCCUGCCAGUCCACACAGCUGCUCUGGAGGUGGACAGAGGCAGCUCCUUUGCAGGGUGAGGCCCACCUGUGUCAUGUCAGCUUGUGGGUUUUCAAGCAUCCAAGGCAGGACAGCCAAGGCCACUAGAUGGUCAGUGAGAUCUGUGGGGGGAGGCGUUGCCGGCAGCAGUGAACUCUGCCCCUUCUUUUUGAGACAGAGUUGAGCGGUUGAUUAUCCAGUGUCCAGAUGAAGGACUGAGGACCAGGGGCCUGGGGAGCUGCUACCAUCUGUGUGGUUUGGUUUGGUCUGGUUCUCCUGGGAGUUUACUGUGUCCCUGGGUUUUGAAUUCCAGCAGUUCAGACAUUCUGCACCCCACAACCUCUGCCUAUUGCCCUUGGUGCCGUGUUUGGUGAGGCCUGGCCACAUUGUCCUCUCCUGUAACCAGAGCUGUGGCCAGUGUGGGUGUGGCAGGUGGUGGCCCAUGCACCACUCCUUGGGCAUCACAGUCCAGGGAGUGGAGCCAGGGCAAAGACCAGCAGUUACGGCCACCAGGCCAUGGCACGUUGCUACUGCCCUGCUGCGCGGCAGGACAGCCCCAGCCCGGUGCCUGGUCAGGGCCACAGAGUGUUAGUGGAGCGGGAGAUGUGUGUGGCCUGUGUUGGCGCACGUGUGCACUGCGGCGCGGGAAGGCUUAUGUGGAAUUUCUGCUUUUCCCUGCAGUGAGAAGUGUGAGGUCUUGGUCUACAGUGCGCGGGAGGCUGAGGAUGCGGAAAAGGUGAGCAGACGUGUAGCAUGGUGAGUGCCCCUCCCUGUGGUUCCCAGGUGCCGUUCUAGAGGCUCAUCUACCCAGUUCCAUUCCACUGUCUUUGCGACCAUCAGUGUUUCGUGGUCCAGAAGCAGCAUCCAGCCAGCCCAUCACCUCCUGUGGCUGUGACAUUUUGACUUUUUAAAAAAACAGCUUUAUGAUCUUAAAAUGGUGAGCAGUGAAGAUGCAGAACCUUGG
rnacentral:lncRNA from 1 species